UGCCAGCCGCCGCGGUAAUACCAGCACCUCAAGUGGUCAGGAUGAUUAUUGGGCCUAAAGCAUCCGUAGCCGGCUCUGUAAGUUUUCGGUUAAAUCUGUAUGCUCAACAUACAGGCUGCCGGGAAUACUGCAGAGCUAGGGAGUGGGAGAGGUAGACGGUACUCGGUAGGAAGGGGUAAAAUCCUUUGAUCUAUUGAUGACCACCUGUGGCGAAGGCGGUCUACCAGAACACGUCCGACGGUGAGGGAUGAAGGCUAGGGGCGCAAAACGGAUUAGAUA
rnacentral:rRNA from 1 species